CUGGUUUUCCUAGCAUUUGGCACAGCCGCCAUACCAAAAACAACCUCAUUACAUACCCUGUCAUUGCAACAAAAUUAACAUCAUGCCCUUGCUCAGUGCAGAAGAAAAGCACUCCCCUACCCCUUCUUAUCACAUCUCUAACCUGUACAGCAAGUAUCAAGAACACAAAUUGACCAAAAAGACAUCAAGCCUCAUCCCCAGAUCA
rnacentral:lncRNA from 1 species